GGGAAAGGAAGCUUGCGGCUCUCUUUCUUUUCUUCUCCCUCGUCCUCUUUCUUCUCCCUUCGCGCUCCGGAGCGCGUGCAUAGCUUAGCUGGGGAGCAUCCACAUUCUCUUUCCGGAGAUCUUCGUCCAUCUGUGAGCCGCAGAGAAUCGCCAUAGAAUACUCCCCAGGAUCAUCCAUUCUUGUCCGUGGCAGCCAGCCGCUAGCGCGCGGUCAGCUCCUCCUCUUCUUCCUUUCCUUGUUAAUAAGGGGAGGGGAGCGAUCGACCAAUUUUGGGAUGGUGGCCUUCUAGAUCAGGAUCAGGGUUCCUCGCGGUCGGAGAUUUUUUCAUGGGUUGGAUUUGCAAAGUCAUCCUAAUGCCGCUCCGCCGCGCAUGGGAGGUGGUGGUUCUCCGGAUUCAGCACAACAAGCGCGGCCGGCGCGGAAUUGGGAUGCUCUACGACGACGUUCAGCUGUGCGCUUACGAGGACGUCCAAGUUAUGUGGUCCAUGCUGCAGCACUCGUCCACGACAGAACCACAGCAGACGAGGUCGUCGAGGCUGUCGAAGUUUUGGCUCUGCCACAAGCCCCGCGCCUUCUGAGACUCUCGGCAGAGCAGCUCCCACACAAGGUUCCUUGUCCCUUUUCCUGCUCUGGCUAAGAACAACGCAGGGAUCAAAUCUUCCAGAUGGGAGCGAGGAAAACCAAAAAAGAAAAAACACAAAUGCAGAGCUAUAGCUAUAGGUGGGAAUGGGGAGAAAUAGUUCGAGUGGUCGUCAAGGCGUCUCAGUAGUGGCGCAUAUGUAGACAAGGGGAGCAGCAGGCAGCAGCUUUUCAAGGCGUGUAAAUGAAAUGCGGAAAGAGGGGAGGGAUUGCCACUGUAAUUAUCACCAAAGGGGUCGAGAAAGAAAAAGAGGAAGAGCAUCACCACCACCAUCUUUUCUUUUGUGGUCGGUCACGGAUAGAUCACCCAUCCUUCUCGACACUCUUAGAAAGACCCCACUUUGAUUCCCUUGCAGUCCAACCAAGUUCCACUUUCAAUCAAGGACUGGAUAGAUAGAUGGAAGUUUUAUAUACGUAUAUAUUUCUUUUCUAGUC